UCCCUGAUAACUCAGCUGGUAAAGAAUCUGCCUGCAAUGCAGGAGACCCUGGUUCGCUUCCUGGGUUGGGAA
rfam:TPA: Bos taurus chromosome 12, whole genome shotgun sequence.